GCGUUGCGGCAGUCGCUGGUCAUUUGACUAGAGGAAAGUCCAUGCUCGCACGAUCUGUGAUGAUCGUAGUGUUUGUGCUGGAUGAAACAAUAAAUCCAGGCAGUGUAAUUACUGACGGCUGAAGGAAACCUAAGGGAAACUAUGGUGUACUUCUUUAAAAGUGCCACAGAGACGAGCUUUUAUGGAAACAUAAAAGAUGGAACGGGUAAACCCCGCAAGCGAGAAACCCAAAUUUGGUAGGGGAACCUGCUGGAGGUGAAGUGAAAUCAUCCGGUGGGGCGUUUGAAAAAACGCAGAUAAAUGACUGCCACUCCAUUGGAGUACAGAACAUGGCUUAUGCAA
rfam:Eubacterium sp. 3_1_31 genomic scaffold supercont1.1, whole genome shotgun sequence.